rnacentral:lncRNA from 1 species
CAUUCUUGUGCAUUCUUUUCCUGGAGUUAAUCCCUGAAUGCAUUGUAUUGUCAUUCCUCUGGAGAAUUUAUAGGUCAGUAUCAAACUGGGACAGCUGGUGGCGGUCACCUGGGAUGGCCCAUCCGUAGGGUCCUAGGCAUGUCCCAGGUCGGGCAGCCAAGCAUCUGGCUGGUCAGCAUCAGGACAGUGUCAUGGUCCAUGUUCCCACCUGGGUCCAUACCUAAGGCGUUAUAGCCACUGCCAGAUCAUCAUGAAAACAGCCAAUUGAGUCCAAGACCAAUGGCCUCAUCCUAAGCCACUGGCUCAGUUCUAAAGAGAGAGAGCUAGUCAAUUCAAAUGAAAGGUGGCUUCUCCUGACACACUUGGAAAAAAAUAAUGCUGGCACAUCCUUAUUUUCAGAGUGAAAGAAUUCUGUCCAAAGAGUUAUGGCUCCCUUAAUUUCAAUGACCUGAGAAGCUUCCUCGUCCUGAGCACGUUCUUGCUAGUGGUGGGCCCCAGGCUCUAAUAAAUACACUGAGGAUCUACAUUUACACGAAACUCUGCAGACCACAACCAGGGUCCUGAAGAAGCUAUUUCUCUUCUUGAAUAAUAAGCUGACUAUUAUGAAAAGUGGUGGAAUGAAAGCUUUAGGGUUUUACCUGAGGAUCCAAGCCACAGUCUUCUUCAUAACCAUUUCUGAACUUCGAGCAACCUUUCAGAGGGUGCAAUUAAACAAGAAGAAUGGAAGGAAGAUCUUCACGGGACUAGUGGCAAGCUCCUGGGUUUAUUUGUAGUCAAUCUGUGUGGUUGGAAUCCUUUCUAACCACACUUGCAAUAAUUCGAAAACAGUGUGAGGGGAUGCCAAGUGCUGCGGAGGAGCCAGAGGCUUUUGUCUAUUCUGUCCUUCGUGCUGGUGACCGGGAGGGCGUCCCUGAACCUGAUCUGGAACCUUCAUCAUAUGAGCAGCUAACACCAAGAGGCAGAGAUGGCCCAGAAUGCUCUUUACCUUAGCUGUGGACUUUCAGUCAUGGUUAAACUUCCACAUCCACCGUCUCAUUGACCUCUGAUGAAGGCUGGUGUUGGGCUUAUAUGGACCCUACCUUUUGUCCAAAUCAUGUGUGUCCUUGUAUGAAUAGGAUGCCAUUCCACAAUUUGUUCAGUUACUGGUUU